GCAAGUCGAGCGAGAAAGCACUUCGGUGUGAGUACAGCGGCGGACGGGUGAGUAACGCGUAGGAAUCUACCCAGUAGUGGGGGACAACAUGGUGAAAACCAUGCUAAUACCGCAUACGCCCUAUGGGGGAAAGCGGGGGACCUUCGGGCCUCGCGCUAUUGGAUGAGCCUGCGUCGGAUUAGCUAGUUGGUGGGGUAAGGGCCUACCAAGGCGACGAUCCGUAGCUGGUCUGAGAGGACGAUC
rnacentral:rRNA from 1 species